UACGUAGGGAGCAAGCGUUGUCCGGAAUCAUUGGGCGUAAAGCGCGCGUAGGCGGACCUGCAAGUCGGGGGUGAAAGCCCGAGGCUCAACCUCGGAACUGCCUUCGAUACUGCGGGUCUCGAGUCCGGGAGAGGUGAGUGGAAUUCCUAGUGUAGAGGUGAAAUUCGUAGAUAUUAGGAAGAACACCAGUGGCGAAGGCGGCUCACUGGCCCGGUACUGACGCUGAGGCGCGAAAGCGUGGGGAGCAAACAGG
rnacentral:rRNA from 1 species